CUACAGGUCAUCACGAAGGUAAAGGUCGCUGUCAGGCUUCAGGGAAGUUAAAGUGGUCCUGAUCCAUCAGGUAACAUGAGAGCGACGUCUCUCAGACAUCUUGGGGAACACCCUGGUCUCUACAGCCUGAGGAAGAGGAAGUUGGUGGCAGUUCGUCUCUAAGAAACUGAGCAAUGCAGGGAAGAAGAAGAAGACUGCUAGCAAGCAAGCAUGGAUGUAAACAAUAACAUGAGCAUUACAGACUUCCUCCGGCUGAGCUGGCUGCCUCUGAAGACUCCUGAGUGCCAAGAAAAUUACUUACCAAUACAGGCCUUUGAGACUUUUCAUAUUUUUAUUGGAGCCUUCUGAUAUUUGCAAGCAGGAACUGGUGUAAGAUCAGUUUAUCAGAAAAAAGAUUCAUCUAUAUAAAAGUUGAAAAUACAGCCUAGGAUUGAAACUACAUCAGGAGCAUGGGCAAUGUCACAGAACAGAGACAUCAAACCACCCUGACAUCACACAGGAAUGCUUGUGCAUGAUUACAUCCCUCUGUAACAUUUCUCUGCAGCAGCA